AAUUCACCAAGUGUUGGAUUGU
rnacentral:snRNA from 1 species